CAUAGCCACGGGAAUACGGAGGGUGCAAGCGUUAAUCGGAAUUACUGGGCGUAAAGCGCACGUAGGCGGCUUUGUAAGUUAGAGGUGAAAGCCUGGAGCUUAACUCCAGAAUUGCCUUUAAGACUGCAUCGCUUGAAUCCGAGAGAGGUGAGUGGAAUUCCGAGUGUAGAGGUGAAAUUCGUAGAUAUUCGGAAGAACACCAGUGGCGAAGGCGGCUCACUGGCUCGGUAUUGACGCUGAGGUGCGAAAGCGUGGGGAGCAAACAGGAUUAGAGACCCCUGUAGUCCCUGUCUCUUAUACA
rnacentral:rRNA from 1 species